ensembl:misc_RNA Gm25393 predicted gene, 25393
GGAUAUGAGGGUAAUCUGGUAAUGACAUAUGACACCCCACUGAAGGCCAGCAUUGAUUUUGUUGAUCAGACUGGCUAGGUGGCUAUCCCCUUACUCCCUCACCUCUCCAUGGGAAUCAAUCUCAAAGCUACACAGUCAGUCCAAAAAGAUGAUCUCCCUGUAAUACAGUCUUUAGUCAAGCAUAUACAAGCAGCUGAACUCCCAUGCUAGAACACCCAAACAAUAUCCCCGUAGAGAGGAUUCUGGAACUAAGAAAAUUUAGGGUUACAAAUUUCCAGGUCACCU